GAUGAACGCUGGCGGCGCGCCUAACACAUGCAAGUCGAACGAUUAAAGCACCUUCGGGUGUGUAUAAAGUGGCGAACGGCUGAGUAACACGUGGGCAACCUGCCCCUUUCAUUGGGAUAGCCACGGGAAACCGUGGAUAAUACCGAAUACUUCGAGACUUCCGCAUGGAAGACUCGAGAAAGCUCCGGCGGAGAGGGAUGGGCCCGCGGCCUGAUAGCUUGUUGGUGGGGUAACGGCCUACCAAGGCAAUGAUGGGUAGCCGAACGGAGAGACGGACCGGCCACACUGGGACGGAGACACGGCCCAGACUCCUACGGGAGGCAGCAGUAGGGAAGCUUCGGCAAGGGACGGAAGUCGGACCGAGCAACGCCGCGUGAGGGAAGAAGGUUGCCGGAGCGUAAAGAGCGGGUGGAAGAGAAGAACGAGUGUGAGAGUGGAAAGUUCACACUGUGACGGUAGCUUACCAGAAAGGGACGGCUAACUACGUG
rnacentral:rRNA from 1 species